rnacentral:rRNA from 2 species
GAGUUUGAUCGUGGCUCAGAUUGAACGCUGGCGGCAUGCCUUACACAUGCAAGUCGAACGGCAGCACGGGAGCUUGCUCCUGGUGGCGAGUGGCGAACGGGUGAGUAAUGCAUCGGAACGUAUCCUGGAGUGGGGGAUAACGUAGCGAAAGUUACGCUAAUACCGCAUAUUCUGUGAGCAGGAAAGCGGGGGACCUUCGGGGCCUCGCGCUCUUGGAGCGGCCGAUGUCGGAUUAGCUAGUUGGUGAGGUAAAGGCUCACCAAGGCGACGAUCCGUAGCAGGUCUGAGAGGAUGAUCUGCCACACUGGAACUGAGACACGGUCCAGACUCCUACGGGAGGCAGCAGUGGGGAAUUUUGGACAAUGGGGGCAACCCUGAUCCAGCCAUGCCGCGUGAGUGAAGAAGGCC